CUUGGCCCUCUAUCCCGAUAGUACGGAAGGCCUCCCCCCGCCUGCUCAUGCCGCACUUGCUCUGUUGUGUUAAAAGGGAAAAUUCCCUUCCCAUGUGCGUGUCCAGUCCGCGUAUGUCUGUUAUAUGUGUGAGGAGGGUUUUGAUUAAACUUUGCCAUGUUUACAAAUAAAAAAUUGCUGAAAAUAGCAUCACUUACACUGUCUGCCCAAGCGCGAUAAACGGAUCACGGGGUGUGUGAGCUGCUGGGAUUGGACAUGUGUACAGUACACUACUAGUAGCAUAACACAAAACACAGAGCACUCUUUUGUAUGUGUAUUUUUGGAUGUGCUUCACCAAACCUGGCUGGCGGCGGAUGUGUCUUGGUUUCUAAUCGUACCGCUGACUUGUUGGGCAUCUGUCGUCACGUGAAGGGUCGUCAACCAAGGUGGUUCUGGACAGCAGUAUCAGGGACAACACAAGCAGGGGGGAUGGGCUUUGGGGGCAAUAAAGAUAGGGACUGACUGACUUAGCAGUUCAUGUUUGACGGAAGUUUCGCUUUCACGACUGGAACAGUUUCCAUCGAUGAGAGUAUUAUUUUCCAAUUUCCAGUUACACUGUUACAUGUACAUUAUGUAUACAUGUACAGUGUUUUUGUAUGCACCAGUCUGCCGAAUUUCAAAAUCCAACAGUGCUUGACAGAAGACUUGGAAGGUACAAACCAAGCCAAUGUCUCGUCCACACCUAGCCCCAAACCAAUCAACCCCUGGUAUCCAGCGAGCUGUCAAAACAUUGCAUUCCUGAGACACCUGCAAACAGGGAGCGAAAAGGUGUGCAAAUAUGUCCCUUCCCUCCCCCAUCCAUGCAGACCCUCCCCCUUACCGGUACUUCGGUCAGGGUUAUGCAGGUGAGGCAGUAACAACCAGUGCUCUGGGGGUCUCUGCCUGUGAUUGCCAUUGAAAUGCACCCUUACUUGCUCAACACCGGUGUUCCCUCAGAUGCAGAAAUGUCACGUUGCUGUCCCAGUCUCGACACGCCUUACUCUGUGUGCGGCACGUUUUCUCUCUCCCCGCUACCAGGACAUGGUGAAGGGUUUCAUGUUUCAUCAGGUUCACCUCACCCAGCGAAGUUCUACAUGAUAACACGGUGUAAUACAGCAUUGGUUUCCCUUUCAGUCUGAGCCCGGCACUCCGCCAGACUGUAACACAUCCCCUCCUGGUGUACCUACUGGGAGGUGAGAGAGUCCGUAAGCCGGGCGACUUUUGAAUGAUUGAUGGGCCCCAAUCAUUUAUUCAAUGACUCAUUUAAGCAUUGUUUAAUCAUUGAUUCCAGACACAUCCCUUGUUUGCCCAUGCAAUUUGGCAGUGGGUGAACGGCCAUUCUAAUCUUAGGGGGAGGGAAGAAUUCAGCCAAACCUGCCUAUACUGGGCCCUUGUUUCUCGCGAUUUUUGUAAUCAAGUCAGUUGGUUUUGGAUUACUUUCCCUACAGACCUUACUGACACAUUUUACUUUAAUGCCACUCUUGUUACUCGAUGUAGUUGCUUCCGUUAAAAUUCUCAACCUCUGAUUUGAAAAUCUGACCGUCAGCUGAAGACCCUUGGAUUUGUCUCGGAAAGUGAAGGUCCUUAUGAGGUAAGAAUUGCCUUGUUAAAUGGAUUGGUCAGAGAGAGGCACAGUUGAGGGAACCAAAGAGGGCAGUGUCAGUGCCCAUUUCAAUUGGUGGUUGUUACUGGCUCUGAAAAACAAAUUGAAAGAAAUUUUGAUUUCAGACAUACGAUCUCAAGCAGCCGACUGUACUAACUGACUCGGUGGUUCAGAUCAAUUUGGGAGAUUUCAGUUGGGCCAAACAUUAAGUAACCUGUAAUAUGUGGCAGCACAGCAAGACAAAAAGAAAGUUUCAUUCUGGGAAGAAAAAAGAGAGGAAAGAGUUUCCAUCAAGAAUAAAUGGGAUGGCUGAAAUUAGUUCUUGGGGGGGAAGUAUGUUUGAGAAUCUGUCAGAAAUGUUCUAAAAUUGUUCUAAAGAUUUCAGAACACUUCUGAGAGUUCUACCAGAGUUGUCAAUAUUUAAGUUUAGAUGGAGGACGAGGGCUUUAUGAUUUGAGGAAUGCAGGGUUAAAGGAGAGAUGCAGUAUGAUUUUUAUGACUUAAAUACAUGUAGGGAAGCUUUCUUGAAAUGUCCACCUCUUUUGAAACAGUAAAAGGGGAAGCCUUCAACAUUUUGGUUUUCAUGCCAAUGAAAACUUCCAUGUUUAUAAGCCAGAACGUGAUGCCAGUCAAGGCAGAGCAGUUGUGUAACCAUUCCUCUGUGUAAAAAUAUAUGUCACACUUUUCUACAUUUUUUUAGCAUGUUCCUCCUUUUACUUGUUUAUGAGUUUGUUCAUACAAUAUGAAUGGCCAUCAUUGGUGGUAGAUUUGGUGGUCUAUUUUGAAAUUGUUUAUUUUAAAGGGCAAAUUUUUUGCAAGUUUUUCUUGCCCUCUUUUGAUAAAGAGUGCCUUGAAAAUAAAAGAAAAGUAGUGCCUUCUGAGUAGUAUCGAUGAAAGGAUUUUCCAAGAAUGGAAAGACCACUACCUUUUGUCACGACCCAAUGGAAACAAAGUGUCAAUUGUAUUGUUAUAAUACAUAGUGAUAUGUAUGAAAACAAGUUGAGCUGAAUGUACUUUGUGUGCUUCCUUCGAACUCCCUCCCCUUUUCAGUUCCUCCCUCCCAACUGCCUGUAAUGAGUGUUUCAUCAGCCGCUGCUGUAAAGUUCUAUCCUUUUCUUUAUCACCCGGCAUGGCACCGACCGAUAAGGCACCGCAGUUCACUUCUCAGUCCCAACUGCAACCCUCCCCGUCUUCAAGUUGGCUCCAUAUACUUACCCAUUUCCCGCAUGACUGUCUGACCGCCUGACCGCCAUACAUCUUGAUUAUACUUCGACAUUUACUCCAGAAAAAAAAAAUGUGUUAAGGUUGAAUUACCUUUUCUGCCAUCCACAUUUAUGGCUACACUUUGAUGAGUGAUAACAACAAAACAAGAUGUUUUACACAGUCAACAGCUUUGGUCCGGAUGUGACUCCAUUUCACUAAUUCACAAAAGGAUUAGCUAGUGGACUCUUUACCCCAACUUCACCCUGCCCUGCCAUCAAAGUAACGAAGUGGCUUCCGCCAGCUCUUUGUGAAUCUUUGUUGAUUUUGCAGAUCUUUGACAGAAAAUUGCUUUUAUAACCUGGGUGGAGUGUUGUUCAUUGAAAUGAAUCCCUGGAUUGCUUGCUCUGUUCUGAUUCUGUCUUUAGGCUCAGCAAUCUUGCGGUUAUUUGUUCUUGUCAGUCAAUGCAUCAUCUAUCCCCCUGUCCUAAGGAAAGGCAGACAGACAAAUUUUGGUUUAGCAAUUUCUUCUUGUAGAAAAUAAUCAAACACCCCCCCCUCAUUCUUUUCACACAAAUCUUUAACACUUGUGACUAAACCUUCACAUUGCCUUCCAGAACAUUGGCCGUAUUGGAAAUAUGGGCUCAGAUAACACUGGGGGUAACAGUUUCAAGUAUUUCACUGGGAGUGGACAGACAUUGCAAUCCUGGAUGAAACCCAAUUGUCAGUAUUCAUGAGUGGUAAUGUAUAAAGACCUGGUGUGGCAACAAUCUGAUGCAUCAGAUCGUCCUGUUUGAACUUUUGUGGUGGAAGAACUACAGGUGCUCUUUGGAAAUUGCAGGGUCUCUUGCUGUGUUGAACAUCAGCAGUUUAACUCCCUCCUUUAACAUCUGUCACCCCCACCCCUUAAUUCUUACCGACUUUUGUGGUUUUGGUCAUUUGGUUCAACUCAAUUGACAUAUCCCUUUCAAAUUGAAAUGCAGAGUGAAGACCUCAGAAAAUCUCCUUGUUAGUUGCUCAUAAAAUACUCCAUUCUGAGGAGAAAAGGGUCAUGUUGCUUUUUUUCUGCAAGUCAUGUCACAAGUCAUUUUUCGUCAAGUCACAAGUCAAUUUGUCCCAAGUCAAACUGCAAUUUCAAUUGUCUUAGUCAAGUUAUGUCACACAUUUGUCCAAACUCAUUUAUUUUUCAAGCCUAUCUAAUGGCAUACUUGACAUGCUGUUGUUUCCAUCACUUUUGACCCAUUUUCCAUUCUUGUGUGGUGUAUACUUUUCAAGUGUGAUCGAUAUAGACAGCACUGUGACACUGCCAACAAUCAUUUGAAAUAAAAACUUGCUUCAGUCCUGCAUUUUGAGAUUUUUUCCAUUUGGAUUGUUGCAUCAUGAAGUGACA